rnacentral:lncRNA from 1 species
CCAGCCCAGGGGAGCUCAGGUGUAUGCAAUGCAGCUGAGUGGCCAGAAGGGAUGGAGCCAGGAUCCACCCCCUCCUAGACCCUCAUUUAAGGGUUGGCAGUGGAGGUGAAUAUAUCUUGCUGGAGGAUCCUGUCUACCUGAGGCUUUCUGAAGCCCACGUUAUUAGAUGGAUGCAGGUGUUCCUCAGCAUUGACUGUGCUUGGCAGACGUCCCACCAGCAGGGAGCAAACAGGAAGAAACCUCUUUUCAUCAGCAGAGCCCUUCCCCAACAUCCCCCUGGGAUCUGUUCUAUUACUAAGCCCUUGGGAGCUUGGAAAUACCCUUUGGGCGUAAAAAUAGUGCCUGCAAAGCCAGCAGUCAGCUCCUUCUCUUGGACAAGCUGUGUGCUGUGUUGGUUUCUUUUUCUCAAUUUCCUGUUCCGAACUCUGUUCAAGGAAGCAGCGACUCUCCCUGGCCAUCCACCUGAGAGAAGAAAUUGCAAACGUGGAUUUCCUGGUAAACUGAGCUCCAGUCUGCGCUGCAGAAAUGGUCCCAGGGCGCUCGCUGGGGGAGGCCAGAAGUCAUCGCUCAUCUGCAUGGGGUGGACAUCAGCAGCAGUUCCCAAAGCAGAACCUCUGUGCGUUUCCAGCCCAAACUCUGGCCUUCAGCAGUGCUCCUCAUACCCUCCCUGAUUCAAUAAAUCAG